rnacentral:rRNA from 1 species
AUGUUCGUAUUUUUCAAAAAUGUUUGGGAAUUUCCAAAAAUGUUUGAAUGUUUUGUUCAAUUUAAAAAAAUGUUCAUGUUCAAUUUUUUUCCACAAAUUCCCAAAAUUGCUCACGUUUCCAUUUUUCGUAGAAGUUUCAAAUUUGUCCAGGAAUUUCAAAAAAUGUUCGUGUUUUCUAAUUUUUUUAAAUGUUCCCAUUUCAAAAAAUUGGUCAUGAUUUUUUUUAAAUGUUCCUAUUUGUUUGAAAAAUGUUAUAUAUUUUCAAAAAAUGUUCACAAACUUGAAAAGUAUUUGCGUUUCAUCGAACAUUUCAGUUUUGAAACAAAAAUUGCUUUUCAAAAUUCCUAA